rnacentral:rRNA from 1 species
GCGGAAGGAUCAUUACCCAUGGCUUUUUUGCCGUAAUGCAUAGCGGCCGUUGCACGAAAGCAAGACACUCCGCCUCACCUUCGUGCUAGUGCACGAAAGAAGGUAGUGGAUACGAGGAUCCCCAGUGCUGUAAUAGCUAUUCGUAGCUACCCCCCGUCUCGUAGUAGCCCCACCAGGUUCUGUCUGUUAGUAGGCUCCCGAAGCCCAUGCAUUAUACCCUUGUCUUUUGCGUACUACUUGUUUCCUCGGCAGGCUUGCCUGCCGAUUGGACAUUUUAAACUCUUUUUUUGUAAUUGCAAUCAGCGUCUGAAUAAACUAUAAUAGUUACAACUUUCAACAACGGAUCUCUUGGUUCUGGCAUCGAUGAAGAACGCAGCGAAAUGCGAUAAGUAGUGUGAAUUGCAGAAUUCAGUGAAUCAUCGAAUCUUUGAACGCACAUUGCGCCCCUUGGUAUUCCAUGGGGCAUGCCUGUUCGAGCGUCAUUUGAACCUUCAAGCUUUGCUUGGUGAUGGGUGUUUUGUCCUCUUCUUAAGUAUCUGGACUCGCCUUAAAAUUAUUGGCAGCCGGCACAUGGGCCUUUGGAGCGCAGCACAUUUUGCGAUCUAAGCCCGCGUUCUAGCGAACCAUUAAGCAUAUUUCAUCACGUUUGACCUCGGAUCAG